UANUUAUCGNCUGNUGUNNCAGUGAANUGUNNNANCCGGCAUAANNAAGGCACCACGNACUNACUNCCGCUNCCAGCNACNNGCGNGUAAUAACGGAAGGUGCAANCGUUAAUCGGAAUUANUGGGGNGUAAANCGCACGCAGGCGGUUUGUUAANUCANAUGUGAAAUCCCCGAGCUCAACUUGGGAACUGCAUUUGAAACUGGCAAGCUAGAGUCUUGUAGAGGGGGGUAGAAUUCCAGGUGUAGCGGUGAAAUGCGUAGAGAUCUGGAGGAAUACCGGUGGCGAAGGCGGCCCCCUGGACAAAGACUGACGCUCAGGUGCGAAAGCGUGGGGAGCAAACAGGAUUAGAUACCCUGGUAGUCCACGCUGUAAACGAUGUCGAUUUGGAGGUUGUGCCCUUGAGGCGUGGCUUCCGGAGCUAACGCGUUAAAUCGACCGCCUGGGGAGUACGGCCGCAAGGUUAAAACUCAAAUGAAUUGACGGGGGCCCGCACAAGCGGUGGAGCAUGUGGUUUAAUUCGAUGCAACGCGAAGAACCUUACCUACUCUUGACAUCCANAGAAUCCUGCAGAGAUGCGGGAGUGCCUUCGGGAACUGUGAGACAGGUGCUGCAUGGCUGUCGUCAGCUCGU
rnacentral:rRNA from 1 species